UUGAAUUCCUUACCGAUUUUCAAACACUUCCCAUUUUCCCAAAUUCAGAUCUGCACCUAUCCCUUCUUCAAUCUUGUAAGCUUCUUUCUUCUUUCACUGGAUCUGAUUUUUAUUUCUUUUUUUGCUUCUUAAUUGUUCUUAGCUAAGAAACAUUUAAUCUUUGCUCUAAUAUUUUUGACCCACUAAUGCUAAUGCUUAAUCUUGUUAAUUUUUCUAUUAAAUAUUUAAGUGCAUCAUAUUGAAUCUAGCUUUAUUCUCAGCUAGGAAAAACUCAUCUUAUGACCCAUUAAUGCUAGUGCUUAAUCUUGUUAAUUUGGAUUACCAAUCAUGGCUUUUUAAAUGCAUCAGAUUUAAUCUUGCUUACCCAUUUGGCUUUUUAUGCUUGUUAAUUUUUAUCAGCUAGGAAAAAUCUAAUCUUUGUAUUAAUAUUUUUGACCCAUUAAUGCUAGUGCUUAAUAGUGUUAACUUUUAUUGUCAAUCUUGGCUCUUUUUAGUGUAUCAUAUUAAAUCUAGCUUGCCCAUUUGGCUUUUUUGCUUGUCAACUAUUCUCAGCAAGGAAAAAAAUUAAUCUUUGCUCUAAUAUUUUGGACCUAUUAAUACUGCUUAAUAUUGUUAUUUUGUAUUAACAAUUAUGGCUUUUUUAAUGCAUCUAUUGAAUCUGGCUUACCCUUUUGGCCUUUGUGCUAAUUAAAUAUGCCUAGCUAGGCCAAAAUUUUUUCUUACUUCAGUUGUUUGUACCCAUUAAUGGUAAUGUUUAAUUGUCUUGGUUUGUAUUAGUAAUCACGGCUUAUACAAUGGAUCAUAUUGGAUUUCGCUUACCCUUUCGCCAAAAUUUCGUUUAUUAUUCUCAGCUAGCUAGGACACAGUCUGUUCUUUGCUUUUGUUGUUUUAUCUAUUAAUGCUAAUGCGUAGUCUUUUUGAUUUGUAUUUGUAAUCUUGGUUUCUUGAUUGCAUCGUCCCAGAUCUGUGUAUUAGUUACUAUUAUAGUUUUUUUUGUCUGUGUAUUAGUUACUAUUAUAGUUUUUUUUGCUGCUUGUAACUGUUUAGCUUCUUGAAAUGCUGUAUUCUUUUUUUCUUUUUCUUUUUUUGUGUGUGUAAAAUGGUCUCUCUUUAUGUUGUGCUGACUAUGGAUUCUGGAUCCUCCAGCCAUGUGGUCAAUCGAGUCCAUCAGCAUAAUGGCAUUAUGGUUUUUAUCUCCAAUCCAAUGAUAAAAGUUGAUUUCAUUGGUCUUCACAGUAAAUAGUUCUAAUGUAUUAAUGCUUGAGGAUCUUGUUCAUAGUUAAUGUUUUAAGUAGUUCUACAUUUUUUAUAUAGUAAAUAGCAUCUGGAUUGUUCUUUUGUCAUUGAAUGAGAAAUGGAAUGUGAUGUAGUGGGAGAUGCUGCGGACAAUGUGGCCAGUGACGUAAAACACAUGCCUGCUUCUAGCCAAUUCUGUUUUCUGGAAUUCCACUUCACCUUGUUUUUCUUGUCCAGUUCCAUUUUGUACCCUUUUUUUUUGGGGGGGGGGGGGGGGGUCUUAAUUGCAUCAUCCCGAUUUGUGUAUUAGUUAUUCUUAUAGCUUUUAUUGCUGCUUGUUACUGUUUAGCUUCUUGAAAUCUGUCAGCAUAAUGGCAUUAUGGUUUUUAUCUCCAAUGAUAAAAGUUGAUUUCAUUGGUCUUCACUCUUCACAGUUCACAGUAAAUAGUUCUAAUGUAUUGAUGCUUGAGGAUCUUGUUCGUAGUUAAUGUUUUAAGUAGUUCUACAUUUUUUAUAUAGUAAAUAGCAUCUGGAUUGUUCUUUUGUCAUUGAAUGAGAAAUGGAAUGUGAUGUAGUGGGAGAUGCUACGGACAAUGUGUCCAGUGACGUAAAACAUAUGCCUGCUUCUAGCCAAUUCUGUUUUCUGGAAUUCCACUUCACCUUGUUUUUCUUGUCCAGUUCCAUUUAGUACCUAUUUUUUGGCGGGCCGCAAAAGUGUUUUUGCUAGUCCUAUAAAGAUAAGUGCUGGUUUAAUCGUUGCUUUUCAUUAAUAAUUUGCUGUUGGUUUACCAAAUAGUCUAUGUGGCCUACAUAUACUUGAGAAUAUUGGACAUGUUAAAUAAAUCACGAAACAUUAUAUUAGUGGAUCUUUGUUGCUUUUAUCUCAUUCUCUAACUGGCUAGAGAAGUAAACAAACUUAAUGUCAAAUUUCAAGGGGUAAUAACCAAAUUCAGAAACCCGUACCUGAGCUUGGGAACUUUCUUGGAAUUCAAUGACCCCAAAGAUUGUUUCUGAGAUCAUGAAAUAUAUCAGUUUAAUUACAAGUUUAUUUCCCUGAGUACAUGCAAGAUUAGUACAUACUGCAAUUUCUACUUCGGUUGGCCUCUUUUAACUUAUUUUAUUUUUUGUUUUCAUAUUCCCUUUGCCACAGUACUUGAGUGAUUUCACAGGUUAUUUCACCAAUCAAAGAAAUCCCUCUUCCCUCAUAAUCUGAUUUUUUGCAAUUUGUUAAUUUAGGAGCUAACUGGUGCACCUACAAUUAUGUGUUCUAAGAAUUGAAGGGGAAGGGUGACUCUGAAGCUUUUCUGCAGAUUCUGAAACUACACAAAUGAUGCGAGGGAGAUCAGAUGGAGCGCAGAAGACGCGCUUGUUGACUUCUGUAGCUGUUGUUGCAGUUUUUGUUGUUAUCCUGUAUGUGUAUUUUGGCUCUAAAGGCAAUGGUGAAUCUGCUCUAGAGUAUGGAAGCCGAUCUUUGAGGAAACUGGGAUCUUCCUAUUUGGGUGGAGAUGAUGACUCUGAUCUUAGCAGCAAGCAAGAUGAGAAGUUUGGGCUCGAAGAUGGUGAAGAUGGUAUCAUUUCUAAGAGCUUCCCAGUGAGUAUUCUUUUUUGUUUUUCUCUCUCGUGUUGUUGCUAGAUAUGAUUUGACGAUUACUGUCAUCCAACCAACCCGUGUGGCUAAAUGGAGGGACAAGAAACACUUGCCGCAUUUUUGUUGUUUUGUUUGUUACUUCUUAACUCUUGUGCUACUUUUUUGUUUUCUUGAAAGGUUUGCGAUGAUCGACAUUCAGAGUUAAUUCCUUGUCUGGACAGACAUCUCAUAUAUCAAAUGAGAUUGAAGUUGGACCUAAACUUAAUGGAGCACUAUGAAAGACAUUGCCCCUUGCCUGAAAGACGUUACAAUUGCUUGAUUCCUCCUCCAGCUGGAUACAAGGUGAGUAAGCUAUAUCAGUACUAAAUAUAAGUCAAGCAUAUGCUCUACUUUCCAAUGUUACUCAAUCUUUUUUCUCAUGAGACACAUCUUUUUCACUUCCCCCCUUGGGUGCUGUUGUAGGUACCAAUUAAGUGGCCACGGAGUAGAGAUGAGGUUUGGAAGGCAAACAUACCACAUACUCACCUUGCACAUGAGAAAUCUGACCAAAACUGGAUGGUUGUUAAGGGUGAUAAGAUUAAUUUUCCUGGCGGAGGCACUCACUUUCACUAUGGAGCUGAUAAGUACAUUGCUUCAAUUGCAAAUGUGAGGACUCUCUUCUUAAAAUAUUGUAGAUCUGUUUAGAAAGGGAAUUAUGUUAACAGUCGUAUAAUUAAAACCAUCCUCUGUUAAGAUGUUCUCAAAGUCGUCAUACCUGUAAUCAUGGUUGCAGAUGCUGAACUUUCCGAACAAUAACUUGAACAAUGGAGGAAAGAUACGCACAGUUUUCGACGUUGGUUGUGGUGUGGCUAGCUUUGGUGGUUAUCUUCUAUCCUCUGAUAUCAUAGCAAUGUCAUUGGCGCCAAAUGAUGUGCAUCAGAAUCAGAUCCAGUUUGCCUUAGAGAGAGGAAUUCCUGCAUAUCUUGGUGUUCUUGGUACAAAAAGGCUUCCCUAUCCAAGCAGAUCAUUUGAAUUUGCUCACUGUUCCCGUUGUAGGAUCGAUUGGCUUCAGAGGGAUGGUAUCCUUCUUCUUGAACUAGAUCGGGUAUUAAGGCCUGGAGGGAUCGAUUGGCUUCAGAGGGACGGCAUCCUUCUUCUCGAGCUAGAUCGGGUAUUAAGGCCUGGAGGCUAUUUUGCCUACUCCUCUCCAGAAGCAUAUGCGCAGGAUGAAGAGGAUCUCAGAAUAUGGAGAGAGAUGAGUGCACUUGUUGAGCGCAUGUGCUGGAAAAUAGCAGAAAAAAGGAACCAAACAGUGAUUUGGGUCAAGCCUCUAAACAACGACUGUUACAUGGAAAGACCAGCUGGUACUCAACCACCACUUUGUCGGUCUGAUGAUGAUCCU
rnacentral:lncRNA from 1 species